GAACCCUUCUAUUCCUUAGAGAUGCCCAUAAGAUGUGAACUCUUUGAUGAACACAUAAAAUCCACUCUUGAACAGGCUGAGAGAUUAGGAAUAAGCAGUAUAUGAAUUGUAUGACAAGUUCAGAUUUAAAACAAAUGCUGAUGGAUUUCAAGCAAAGGAUUUUAAAUAAUGUUUUGAAACAAACAAACGAAAGGGAUUGCUUGAUCCUUGUUUGAGGACCAAUAUAAGGUAAAUUGCAUCCAUUUUCUAUAUCCCUUGUUAUAUCAGUAAAUACACCAGUUUUAUUCUUUUACCUGUUGAUAAAUGUUCCCAAAAUAUUUGUAUUUCUAGUCUGAGAAAUGUUUCUAAACAUUUGCAGGUGCUUAUGACAAGUUCAAGAUAAACAAAUAUGAAACAUUUAA